rnacentral:lncRNA from 1 species
UAAAAUGGGGCUCAAACAAGGGCUUAAAAUAGAACAUAAAACAUGUCAUGUUGAACACUUGCCCAAGAAUUGUCCUAUAGUGUCCCUUUCGAAAUUUAAACAUACGUGUUAGACAUAGACAUGUUGCCCGCGUAGGAAUGUCGGUGCAUCACAGUUGAUAUGACAAUGAAGUAAACUAUAUUGAGUAAUAGUUGACAUCUAUCACAUCCCUAUCUCACAUGGGGAGAUCAUAGUUGAAUUUUAUUGUUCAAUCAUUAUUUAGUAACAUUUUGUAUAUUUUGUCUACUUAUGGACAUUUCUAAAUUUUAUCUAUUCUCGUAACGUUCAUUGCCUGCCUGUGUGCAAAAUAAAUAUGAGAAUAUGAUAGAGGAGUACAGAAUUUCUAUAAUAAGUAUGUCCUCAUAUAUUAUAGCUUUGGCGUCCGCUUUUUAUGAGUUAUAGAUGUAUUGGCAGGUAUUCUAACUCAGAUUGCAAGUUUCUGCAGAGUUAUACAUGUUCUGUUACGAUGAGGAUUAUCACUGUUAGGAUGAGGAUUAUAACUGAUGGUUUUAUUUUACGCAACGGAGUAUAGCCCAAUUAUGUACAUGACAUACUGGUGCUAUCCAACCAACUUCAUUAAGUUUUUAUGACGUUUUGAGCGGAAAGAAUCUCUCUUUCCCAAUGUCAUUAAGUCAUUUGUUUUUGUAGCUUGCUAAAAUUUAGAUAUCAAGUUUAGUUAAGUCACCAUGUCAACUGGUGUAUGAGUCAUUUCUUAUACAUAAGUUUUUACUCCACCCUAGAAUUCUAUGUGAAAUAUUAAGUCUCCACUGACUUAAAAAUAAAUUUUCUCCCAUCCUUGAAUCAAGUCUCCACCCUUUUUACAUUGUAAACUAAUUGUCAAAAGGCACCUUUUUAAGGAAUCUAGUCUUUUGCACUUCUGUUUCUUUCAGAUUGGAUUUGGUUUUCCUGAUAUGACUUAAGGAUAUUGUUUGCUUCCUUCUUCCUGUUAUAUUAGCCCAGUUUGAGCCCCAUUUUUGGGGUUAAUUGAUUUUGAAAUAAUUAUUUUUUUAUUUUAUUUUAUUUUUUAUUUUUUAAGAAUGUGUGGUUAAAAAGUAGGAAAAAGUUUUAGUUUACGUGUAAAAUUAUUUUAUUGGGAGAAUGUGUGAUUGAAAAUGAAUGUGGGG